GUAAAUUAACACCUCGCGGGCUCAGUAGUUUGUCACCGGAGUGUUGAGGACUCCACCAAGUCGCGCACUUUCGAGGACUUUUGUGAACAUUUUGCUAUGCAGAGUUCGUUUCAUUGAAUUCCUUUGCCGAGGAUUCGAUCUCUAGGUUUUGGGGACAAAAGUUCCAUGUCACUAUCCAGGUAAUGUCCUCUUGUCCACACAUAACUAGGUUUUCGGGACGUUUCCUCUUUGGUGGCCUCAUGUACUUUUUUG
rnacentral:lncRNA from 1 species